AGUAAACACACGGUCUAGUGUCAGACUUUUGCCUGAGGUCCCAGAAAGGUCAGAGGGAAAGGAUCCCAGCCCACAGGAUAGUGUCACCUACAUCCUGCCUUGGUCUUCCUCUUUAAUCUUUCUGGAAAUACCCUCAUAGUAUCACCCAAAGGAGUGUUUCCAUGGAGCUUCUAAUCCCAUCUAAUUGAGGAUCAAAGGAUCAGUGAGAUGGCUCAGUGAACUCACCUACUGCCAAGCCUGAUGACCUGGGGUUCAAUCCCUGGGACCCAGUGACGGAAAGAACCAACUCCAGAAGUUGUCCUGUGAUGUCUCCACUCCCCGCAAAAAAAACUUAAUAUAAUUGUAUUUAUGUAGUAUUUAUUUAUGAAUUAAUUAAUUUUAUUUGUUUUAUAAAUAAAAAUAUUUAUAAACUA